rnacentral:rRNA from 1 species
UACGAAGGGUGCAAGCGUUACUCGGAAUUACUGGGCGUAAAGCGCACGUAGGCGGUUCGUUAAGUCGGAUGUGAAAGCCCUCGGCUCAACUGAGGAAGUGCACCCGAAACUGGCGAGCUUGAGUACGAAAGAGGAUCGCGGAAUUCCCGGUGUAGAGGUGAAAUUCGUAGAUAUCGGGAGGAACACCGGUGGCGAAGGCGGCGAUCUGGGUCGAUACUGACGCGUGAGGUGCGAAAGCGUGGGGAGCAAACAGG